rnacentral:ncRNA from 1 species
AGAGUAGGCCUCUCGGUGUCGUCUAUCAGGAGGAGAUACCAAACCACCUUGAGCUGCAAUCAUAAAGAGCGUUUGUGGUGAGCGUCAAAGGAAACGGCGGAAAUAAUUCCGCA